rnacentral:lncRNA from 1 species
AGAGAAAACAAAAGCUCUCCAAAAGGAACUGAUCUCCCUCACCAGGAAUGUAGGAGAACACCAAGAGGAGGAGACAGAUUUGGAGAGAGAUAAAGGAGUAAACCAACUGUUGGCCCUUACCCAGACCAUUAAAGCACUGAAACUGAGGGAGGAGGAGAAAGACAAAAAGAUGGAAGAGGAACGAGGUGAAAGACAAACGCAACUGUUGGCCCUCACCAGGAUGAAGAAAGAACAGGUUGUGAAGGAGGAGAUCAUGAGGAGCGAGAUCAUGGAAGAGACAAAAAAAAGAGCGGCUCUCCAGAAGGAACUAAUGACCCUCACCCAGACCGUAGAAGAACAGAAAGAGAGGGAGGAGAACAAGGACAGAGAGUUACAGGAGGAGAGAGAGAAAAGUGAAGCUCUCAAAAACGAGGUGUUGUCCCUCAACCGGAAGAUGGAAGAAGAGAGAGUGGGGAAGGAGUGGAUGGAGAGAAGGAUAAGGAAGGAAAGGCAGAAGAGAGACGCGCAAGUGAUGAUCCACGUACGGAAAAUUAAAAAGCUGGAGGAGAGAGAGGAGCUACUGAUCCCCAUGCUGAGGAAGAUGGCAGAAAGGGAGCUGAUGAUCUGGAGGGACAUGAAGGAAAUCCAGAUGGACAUAUGCAGAUGGUGAAGGAAACCUUAUGUGCUCCACACGAGGAAGAAAAUCAGUGGAAAUGGAAAGCACCAUUUGAUUGACUUCCACAGAGAACAACCACUGUCAAUGAGAGGAAUAUUCAAAUGUGUCUUUCCCUG